rnacentral:lncRNA from 1 species
GUGGAUCUAAGACAGCUCUGCUUGGCCCAGGAUUGUCCCAAAUGUCCUUUCAGCUACUUCAUUACAGGGAACGGGAGAGCCAGAGAGAGCAACUUCAGGCAAAAUGUUGACUCCUCGAGACGUGCCUUUGAUUCCAGUGCAAAAGGAUUGUACUAUAUCCUAUGGAAUUUGAAAACACUCAGUAUUUUCAUAUCUUAUUUGAUCUCGUGAAAAUGAAAAGAGUACUAAUAUCCAACUAGAGGCAAGUGGCAGAAUCCAGCUGAACAUACUUCACAAAUUCCACAAAAUUAAGGACUUUGCUAUUGGCCAAGAAAUGAUGCCUCAAAAUCAGCUCUAGGCAGAAAUCCUUUCUCUUCUCAAAACAAUAUUCUACCGAAGGCAAGUCUUAGUGUGGCGUUCCAGCACAGACACACACCAGAACGUACCAAGACACAUUGGAUCUCUGACUGGAACUUCGUUCAGAUGGAACAAAUGUAAAUGGUUGAAGAUAGAAAACUUAUUAUAGAUUUUACAUCCAGCCCAUGAGGAUUUUGACUGAUUCCAUUGAGCAGGCUCAGAAAUCUCAGACUAGAAACACACGACGUGAGCUAAAAGCAGUUCUGCAAUCUUCCUCAAGAAUGCUCAGACUGAUCCUCUUCCUUCACGCAGCUGAAAUGCCGCCACUUCCUAGGACCACACUAAGAGUGUUUGUGGAAAAAAGUGCCAAUGACUCAGUUCAGUUUUGUAAAGUACUAGCAGUUCUCUGGAGGAAACGUGCCAUAUUGAAUCUCUGCCAGGUGGACCAGAAAUGCCUGGCUCCACUUGGACUGUCGUCUCCAAUUGCACAUCCAUCCUGGAACCUGAGUGGUAAGUGGGCACAGCAUCCAGGGAGCAGCUUCUGGGGCUGCAGACCUAAUCAAAAACACUAAAUGUGGGAGUGGGUGCCCAGGGCAUGCUCUGGGGACACUUUUGCUGCAUGCUUUACACAUCAGCCCCAGGUUCUCUCUGGAUCCAGAGUAGCCAACAG